GGAAGUUAAGAAAUUGUUUAUUAACUUUUAACUAAAAAAACUAAGAACCGGUUCUUAAAUAAAGACUUUAAAAGCCGGUUCUUAGCUUUUUUAGUUAAAAGUUAACAGUUUCUUAACUUCC
rfam:Brassica napus, WGS project CCCW01000000 data, contig: 7975